rnacentral:tRNA from 1 species
GUCCAUUGUAAUAGCGAAAUUAGCUAUGCCCUCUCACGGCGGCAACAGGGGUUCGAAUCCCCUAUGGGACGCCA